UUGGGAGAGGGCUGUGUAGUCAACUACAAGUUGUCUACCCCAAGUUUCAUCAGAGACGAGGUGUUGGCUAUUGGCUUAAGAUACUGUGAUAGGCUCCAUCGUGGUUUCCAGUGAUCCCUCAUCCCUGGUAUUGACACUUCUCUGCUCCAUAAUGCUUCUCCAUUUGGAUUUUUCUGGUUUUCCUUCAUGAUGAGAUUCAGAGUUUGUCUUUGGAAGGAAUGUGACGGAAGUGGCUGCAUUGUCCUCUUUGCAUCCUCAAUUUCACAGUUCUGCACAUCCUGUGAGAGAGGCAUUAACUGGCAAUCCUUCAAGAUAUUUCUGAAUGCAUUGUGAGAUUUUUUCCCUGGGUUAUCUUUUCAAGAAUAUUUAAAUAGCAAGCAGCCCUGGAAGAUAGAAACUUUGUCUCAUAACAGUGCAGAGGACAGAUUACUUUGCUACCUACCAUAAUAAAGAUGUCUCCCCCUGCAGCAAAGUUCCCAAAGGUUUGCUUAUAGCCUAGUAUAAAAGACUGGAGUCUUCUC